CUUGCAGAGUUUGUUGAGGUUGUGCAUGUUGGAUCCGGGGGCGUUCUUGAAUUCCUCGAACAGAUCGUCAUCGUCGUCGGGGAAAUUGAGGUUGUUGGUGGGGUGUUCGGGUUGGUGGCGGUGGUAGUGUCGGUGUGGGGUUUGUUGCGGCCUUUCUCCAUGGAAUCCAUGGAUUUGAAGUGAACUCUGGAGGAGGGUGAAGCGGUGGUGGAGUUGUUGAUGAGGCGAGGGAGAGGGAGGGAGGGGAGGCGUU
rnacentral:lncRNA from 1 species